rnacentral:lncRNA from 1 species
AAGGUCCCCCAACAAAUAGGAGCCACGUGUCAACAAAUGUAUUUUUUUUAAAAAUUUCGAAACUGUGUAUAGCCGCGCGGCUAUACUAUUUUUAAAUAUAAAAAAAGGUCCCCCAACCAAUAGGAGCCACGUGUCAAAACAUGUCUUUUUAAUAAAAAUUUCAAAACUGGGUACAGCCGGGCGACUAUACUAUUUUUAAAUAUAAAAAAGUUCCCCCAACCAAUAGGAGCCACGUGUCAACACAUGUCUGUGUAAAAAAAAUUCAAAACUGAGUAUAGCCGUGCGGCUAUACUGUUUUUAAUAUAAAAAAGACUCCAGCCAAUAGUCCCCACGUUUCAACACAUCUUUUCAUAAAAUUAAAAACAUGGAAUAUAGCCGUCCGACUGUACUGUAUUUUCUUUUUUUCUUUUUAAAAAAAAAUAGAAAAAGAGACCCUCCUAAUUGCAUUGGUUUGUACCUUAUGUAUAUUAAUUUGCAUCAUAUCCAAAGUAGAUAUUAAUGUUCCACUAUUUGAUAUUUUAAUAUAAUUUUUGUACCAUGUGUUAUUCUUAUUCAAUAAUAUGUGAGAAUUAUUUGUAUAAUACGUGAAUUGUGUGUGUU